AGUGAACGCUGGCGGUAGGCCUAACACAUGCAAGUCGAACGGCAGCACAGUAAGAGCUUGCUCUUACGGGUGGCGAGUGGCGGACGGGUGAGGAAUACAUCGGAAUCUACUUUUUCGUGGGGGAUAACGUAGGGAAACUUACGCUAAUACCGCAUACGACCUACGGGUGAAAGCAGGGGAUCUUCGGACCUUGCGCGAUUGAAUGAGCCGAUUUCGGAUUAGCUAGUUGGCGGGGUAAAGGCCCACCAAGGCGACGAUCCGUAGCUGGUCUGAGAGGAUGGUCAGCCACACUGGAACUGAGACACGGUCCAGACUCCUACGGGAGGCAGCAGUGGGGAAUAUUGGACAAUGGGCGCAAGCCUGAUCCAGCCAUACCGCGUGGGUGAAGAAGGCCUUCGGGUUGUAAAGCCCUUUUGUUGGGAAAGAAAAGCAGCAGGUUAAUACCCCGCUGUUCUGACGGUACCCAAAGAAUAAGCACCGGCUAACUUCGUG
rnacentral:rRNA from 1 species